rnacentral:rRNA from 1 species
GACGAACGCUGGCGGCGUGCUUAACACAUGCAAGUCGAACGGAAAGGCCCUGCUUUUGUGGGGUGCUCGAGUGGCGAACGGGUGAGUAACACGUGAGUAACCUGCCCUAGACUUUGGGAUCACUUCAGGAAACUGGGGCUAAUACCGGAUAGGAGCUCCUGCUGCAUGGUGGGGGUUGGAAAGUUUCGGCUGUUGGGGAUGGACUCGCGGCUUAUCAGCUUGUUGGUGGGGUAGUGGCUUACCAAGGCUUUGACGGGUAGCCGGCCUGAGAGGGUGACCGGCCACAUUGGGACUGAGAUACGGCCCAGACUCCUACGGGAGGCAGCAGUGGGGAAUAUUGCACAAUGGGCGGAAGCCUGAUGCAGCAACGCCGCGUGCGGGAUGACGGCCUUCGGGUUGUAAACCGCUUUCGCCUGUGACGAAGCGUGAGUGACGGUAAUGGGUAAAGAAGCACCGGCUAACUACGUG